GGAAAGAAGACAACAGAACAGAAGACUAUGUAGCAAGACUGCAGAUGAAGAACACUGAGGAAGACCACAAUACAAUGGAGGAAGAUUUACCUGAAUCUUCUCUGGACGACGUGCUUCAGUGCUCCAAUGGAUCAAGCUCAAGUUCCACCUCCGGACCUGCUAGAGGGUCAGAGAGCAGACCAGAAUCCAGCAGGAUGUAGCAGGGCUUCAGUUGAGGAUUUGUCACAAACUCAGCAGAGCCAGGGCUGGAAUCAGGUCCAGGGCCAGAGCUUCACCUCAGAAAAUGGAAAGAGUCCAGAAUCAGGGAAACACCUUUGCCCACCUGGACCAGAUACAGGACUAGGACCCAAUACAGGAUCAGGAUCAGGUAAAAGACCAGUACCAGAUGCCGGGACCAGAAACUAAUACAGGACCAGGUCCAGUACCAUUGCCAGAAACAGUAGCAGAAUCCGGACAAGGACCUUCAUACAGCCAGCGAGGAGGCAGCGGGGGAGUCCAGUGGCGGGGUCCCGGCCUUCACGGAGGCGAAGGCGGAGGCGGG
ensembl:lncRNA